AUUUCAGAGAAAAGUGAAUUCUGAAAUUUGAAUAAUGCAUCUGACGUGUGUGUGAUGACGUCACGACGCACGUAUUUUGAUUUUUACCAGUCGUUCAAGGCGGACGGAUUCAGUCCCAAGAAGCUAAAGUUUUUCAAAGACAUUUGUAGGGAGGACUUUGCAGCUAAUGGAGCUGAAGUAUUUUAUGUAAGGAGGAUUUUGCAGCCCAUAUAGAUUUCCUUAGGCUGAACCAAAACCUGCCAGACUAAAGUUGAUUUGGGAGAGC